UCCUAGGUUUCCUGCAACCUCACUGGGCAUUUUCAGAAUGAUCUGUACAAGCGUUGACUGAAUGAUUGAUUCCAAGUUCCCCCUUCCUAGGAUUUCAGACCUCCUCUUGACAAGUGAUGAAUGGGCCAUCUUAAUCUUGUUUGGAUCAGAAAGGACCAUACAAUUGAGCUUUAGACAAGACUAAAAAUAUCAAAAGUAGCACUCUGCAAUUUUAUGUGCAUGUGGCUUGAAGCUCUGACAACAACACAAAAGAUUCCCAAAUGUGGUACUCAUUCUACCUGGAUAUACCAGAGGAUUUUGUGGGAAUAAAAGGAUGACUGUUUUCAUGUUACCAUACUGAAUUAUGUGCGCAACUGUAACACAAUGGAGCCUCACGGAUUUGCUCAUCGCCCUCUGAACACCUGUGGCCUUCUCACUCCUCUGUGUCUUUGCACAUCCUUUCCCCAACCUCAUGCCAGGCCAUUGCAUUGUGAUCCAGGCUCAGUCUUCGUUCUGCUUCGUGGCAUCACAGUCCCUUAUUUGAAACUGAACCAGGACUGCAGUCUUCGACUUUGACAUCAAAUUUGACACCUCAGUGGCCCGAGCUUUCAGAAACUUGGAAUUGCAGACAUUAUGGAUUUGGACCUGCCCUCAGAAGGUUACUAUGAGGACUAAAUACAUUCAAAGUACAUGCAAGUCAUGGGGGAGAUAUUACUCCACUUCCAGAGAAGUUGCUAGGAUGAAAGGACAUAACAAAUACAAGAGCUACCUACUGAAAUAUUUACAAGUGAAAUGAUGUGAGAUGUGGGAUUUGAUUCAAAAUGAUCCUUUAUGUAUGAAGAGUGGGGCGUGGAGAAUGCAUGAAGAUACAGAUAAAAUAAACGUGUCUAUGGGUUAAU
rnacentral:lncRNA from 1 species